rnacentral:rRNA from 1 species
AUUGAACGCUGGCGGCAUGCCUUACACAUGCAAGUCGAACGGUAACGCGGGGCAACCUGGCGACGAGUGGCGAACGGGUGAGUAAUGCAUCGGAACGUGCCCAGUAGUGGGGAUAGCCCGGCGAAAGCCGGAUUAAUACCGCAUACGACCUACGGGUGAAAGCGGGGGACCGUAAGGCCUCGCGCUAUUGGAGCGGCCGAUGUCAGAUUAGGUUGUGGGUGGGGUAAAAGCCUACCAAGCCGACGAUCUGUAGCUGGUCUGAGAGGACGACCAGCCACACUGGGACGGGGACACGGCCCAGACUCCUACGGGAGGCAGCAGUGGGGAAUUUUGGACAAUGGGGGCAACCCUGAUCCAGCCAUGCCGCGUGCGGGAAGAAGGCCUUCGGGUUGUAAACCGCUUUUGUCAGGGAAGAAACGCUCUGGGCUAAUACCCCGGGGUAAUGACGGUGCCUGAAGAAUAAGCACCGGCUAACUACGUGCCAGCCGCCGCCGUAACAC